rnacentral:rRNA from 1 species
UACGAAGGGGCUAGCGUUGCUCGGAAUCACUGGGCGUAAAGGGCGCGUAGGCGGAUCUUUAAGUCGGGGUGAAAGCCCAGGGCUCAACCCUGGAAUUGCCUUCGAUACUGGAGAUCUUGAGACCGGAAGAGGUAAGUGGAACUGCGAGUGUAGAGGUGAAAUUCGUAGAUAUUCGCAAGAACACCAGUGGCGAAGGCGGCUUACUGGUCCGGUUCUGACGCUGACGGCGCGAAAGCGUGGGGAGCA